rnacentral:rRNA from 1 species
AUUGAACGCUGGCGGCAGGCCUAACACAUGCAAGCCGAGCGCCCCGCAAGGGGAGCGGCAGACGGGUGAGUAACACGUGGGAAUCUACCCAUCCCUGCGGAACAACUCCGGGAAACUGGAGCUAAUACCGCAUACGCCCUUCGGGGGAAAGAUUUAUCGGGGAUGGAUGAGCCCGCGUUGGAUUAGCUAGUUGGUGGGGUAAAGGCCUACCAAGGCGACGAUCCAUAGCUGGUCUGAGAGGAUGAUCAGCCACAUUGGGACUGAGACAUGGCCCAAACUCCUACGGGAGGCAGCAGUGGGGAAUAUUGGACAAUGGGCGCAAGCCUGAUCCAGCCAUGCCGCGUGAGUGAUGAAGGCCUUAGGGUUGUAAAGCUCUUUCACCGAUGAAGAUAAUGACGGUAGUCGGAGAAGAAGCCCCGGCUAACUUCGUGCCAGCCGCCGCCGUAA